GUCUUUUUGAAAAUAAUAUAAAGUCAAAUUUGCCCCCUGAUUUAAUUAAAGGGCUGCAGUAAAUUGACUGUACAAAGGUAGCAUAAUAAAUAGUCUUUUAAUUGAAGACUUGUAUGAAUGAUUUAAUGAAAUAUAAACUGUCUUUUUUUUAUAAUUAAAAUUUAAUUUUUUAGUAAAAAAGCUAAAAUUUUUUUAAAAGACGAGAAGACCCUAUAGAGUUUUAUAUUUAAUUUAAUUAUAAUUUUUUAUUAAUAUUUAAUAAAAAUUAAUAAAAAUAUUUUAUUGGGGUGAUAAAAAAAUAAAUUGAACUUUUUUUGUUUGUAGCGUAUAUAUAUAUAUAUGUAUUUAAACAUUUAUUUGUGAAAAAAUGAUCCAUAAUUUAUGAUUAUAAGAAAAAAUUACCUUAGGGAUAACAGCGUAAUUUUUUUUUUUAGUUCAAAUAAAAAGAAAAGUUUGCGACCUCGAUGUUGGAUUAAGAUAAAAUUUAAAUGUAAGAAGUUUAAAAUUUUUGAUCUGUUCGAUCAUUAAAAUCUUACA
rnacentral:rRNA from 1 species